rnacentral:lncRNA from 1 species
CCAGGCUCCAAUUGCUGUUAAGAAAACUGGUAUUAAAAUACUACUGACAGGUUGGACACUGUAGUCCUCCAGACAACAUUAAUCUAUCGAUGACUCUCAAGUGAAGACGUGAUUGAUGCAGUUACAGAAAUUGGUGACAUAGGACCGGACUGAACAUAGAAGAAUUUGUCCUGCAACCCUCAGCCAGACUUCCAUCCUCUGGGG